AGGGUUUGAUCAUGGCUCAGGAUGAACGCUGGCGGCGUGCCUAAUACAUGCAAGUCGAACGAGGUGCUUUUGUAGCAAUACGAAAGUAUCCUAGUGGCGAACGGGUGAGUAACGCGUUGGUGACCUACCCCAAAGUGUGGGAUAACAGUCCGAAAGGACUGCUAAUACCGCAUGUGGUUAUCGGAUUUAGAAACCAGUAACUAAAGGAGCAAUUCGCUUUGGGAGGGACCUGCGUCCCAUCAGCUAGUUGGUGAGGUAAUGGCUCACCAAGGCGACGACGGGUAGGGGACCUGAGAGGGUGACCCCCCACAAUGGAACUGAAACACGGUCCAUACACCUACGGGUGGCAGCAGUAGGGAAUAUUGCACAAUGGGCGAAAGCCUGAUGCAGCAACGCCGCGUGCGUGAUGAAGGUCUUCGGAUCGUAAAGCGCUUUUCUGGGAGAUGAGAAAGGACAGUAUCCCAGGAAUAAGUCUCGGCUAACUACGUGCCAGCAGCCGCGGUAAAACGUAGGAGGCAAGCGUUAUCCGGAUUCACUGGGCGUAAAGCGCGUGCAGGCGGUGCGGUAAGUUGGGUGUGAAAUCUCCCGGCUCAACUGGGAGAGGUCAUUCAAUACUACCGUACUCGAGAGUAGAAGAGGAAGAUGGAAUUCCCGGUGUAGUGGUGAAAUGCGUAGAUAUCGGGAGGAACACCAGUGGCGAAGGCGAUCUUCUGGUCUAUUUCUGACGCUCAGACGCGACAGCUAGGGUAGUAAACGGGAUUAGAGACCCCGGUAAUCCUAGCCGUAAACGAUGUGAACUUGGCGUUGGUGGGUUAAACUCCAUCAGUGCCGCAGCAAACGCGAUAAGUUCACCGCCUGGGGACUACGGCCGCAAGG
rnacentral:rRNA from 1 species